ensembl:processed_transcript
GUCCGGGUUCGACCGAUGAACCGCAGAGAGAUUGAGCUCAACACUAAAUGUGUGGUUGAGAUGGAGGACAAUCAGACCGUUCUGCACCCGCCGCCCUCCAAUGCAAAAGGAGAAAGCAGAAUUUAAGAUGUUUUGGGCUCUUGUCAGAAGUACAUGCAGGGCCUGUAUUUUGGGCGUGCUCAUGUGCUGGGGAACUUAUUCUGCUGCUGCUGUGAAAUUCCUGGACAGGCCUCGUGUUUUCAGCAGUGCUGGAGUUCGAGAUGCCGUACAGUCGAGUCUUC